AUUGAACGCUGGCGGCAGGCCUAACACAUGCAAGUCGAGCGAGCGGCGGACGGGUGAGUAAUGUCUGGGAAACUGCCUGAUGGAGGGGGAUAACUACUGGAAACGGUAGCUAAUACCGCAUACCAUCAGAUGUGCCCAGAUGGGAUUAGCUAGUAGGUGGGGUAAUGGCUCACCUAGGCGACGAUCCCUAGCUGGUCUGAGAGGAUGACCAGCAUCACUGUAACUGUGACACUGUCCAGACUCCGACGUGAGGCCUCAGUGGGGAAUAUUGCACAAUAGGCGCAAGCCUGAUGCAUCCAUGCCGCGUGGGUGAAGAAGUCCUGCGGGUUGUAAAGCACUUUCAGCGGGGAGGCGUUACCCGCAGAAGAAGCACCGGCUAACUCCGUGCCAGCAGCCGCGGUAAUAC
rnacentral:rRNA from 1 species